CAAGCGCGAGGAGCGGGGCGGGGCGAGCGCGCGUGCUCCCGGAUCCUCGGCAGUGUCCGGCGCCCCCUUCCCUUCGCCAGGCCCGUUUGGCGCCUUCACUCGGGAAGACGUCGGCCAGGACUUUGCGCUUUGGAGACGUCUUACUUCGGCAGCACUCGCACACUGCGAGAUCCGACACGGGCAGCGGGGACCUAGGGAGCCGGGGACGCUGCCUGUCGGGUACGGUUCCGCAGCUACCGCAGCCCCGUGGGCCAUGAGUUCUUCCCAUCAGACUCAUAGAGUUCAAGGCACACUGAAGAUAUGCUUCCAGGGGCUUGCAAUGUGUGUUGUCUUCGAGCUGGCAAAGGAGUCCCUGAUGGAAACAGCACUGUGAAUCUACUGGCUCCUGAUUCGUCCACACCCUAGUUAGCAGGAAACAAGGUGCAUACUCUUUGGUAUUUAUCUUUACAAUUGAAAAAAACUUCCCAUUAUAAAUGAGAUAUAUAUUCCUUAUUGAUAAAC
rnacentral:lncRNA from 1 species